UAUACUUAAUACGCAUAUUCCCCACUCCACCUACAAAUACAAAGUAAACUUAUCCAAAAACCAAUCUCCUCAACCCUUCUUAAACCCUAGCCACCAUUUUUCCCCAAUUCGAUUCCAUUUCCUCAAACCAUGGCAUCUUGUAACCUCUCUUCAUGCAACCUUUCUUCCUCCGCUUCCAUUUCCUCGUUCUCCUCUAAUGCCUCCCGUAGAAGAACCACAAACAACGUCGCUCUCACUAGAAGGAGCCGAAACCCCAAAGUCUCCGCUAUGGCCAAGGAAUUGCAUUUCAACAAAGAUGGCUCCGCUAUCAAGAAACUUCAGAAUGGUGUGAACAAGCUUGCGGAUUUGGUUGGUGUUACUCUUGGUCCUAAAGGAAGGAAUGUUGUUCUUGAGAGCAAGUAUGGUUCUCCUAAAAUUGUUAACGAUGGUGUUACUGUUGCCAAAGAGGUUGAGUUGGAGGAUCCAGUUGAGAAUAUUGGUGCCAAAUUGGUGAGACAAGCAGCUGCCAAGACAAACGAUUUGGCGGGUGAUGGAACCACUACCUCUGUUGUUUUGGCUCAGGGUCUUAUUGCAGAAGGUGUCAAGGUUGUUGCAGCAGGUGCAAACCCUGUGCUCAUCACACGUGGCAUUGAGAAAACAGCGAAGGCACUUGUGGCUGAGCUUAAACUGAUGUCAAAAGAGGUUGAAGAUAGUGAAUUGGCAGAUGUGGCAGCAGUAAGUGCAGGGAACAAUCAUGAGGUUGGAAAUAUGAUUGCCGAAGCAUUGAGUAAGGUUGGUAGAAAGGGUGUUGUGACACUUGAGGAGGGGAAGAGUGCUGAAAACAGUCUGUAUGUUGUUGAGGGGAUGCAAUUUGAUAGAGGAUAUAUUUCACCGUACUUUGUUACUGACAGUGAGAAAAUGUCUGUUGAAUUUGAGAACUGCAAGUUGCUAUUGGUUGACAAAAAGAUAACCAAUGCAAGGGAUCUUAUUAACAUAUUGGAGGAUGCAAUUAGAAGUGGUUUUCCUAUUUUGAUAAUUGCCGAGGAUAUUGAACAAGAAGCUUUAGCAACUCUUGUUGUGAACAAACUUAGAGGAUCACUGAAGAUUGCAGCACUCAAGGCCCCUGGAUUUGGAGAACGCAAGAGCCAGUACCUCGAUGAUAUUGCCAUCUUGACUGGAGGUACUGUUAUCAGAGAGGAGGUUGGCCUUAGCUUAGACAAAGCUGGGAAAGAGGUUCUUGGCAAUGCCUCCAAGGUGGUGCUCACCAAAGACACAACCACAAUUGUUGGUGAUGGAAGUACCCAGGAAGCAGUUACCAAGAGAGUUUCACAAAUUAAGAACCAAAUUGAGGCUGCAGAACAAGAGUAUGAAAAGGAGAAGCUGAAUGAAAGGAUUGCAAAACUAUCCGGUGGUGUGGCUGUAAUACAGGUUGGUGCACAAACUGAGACAGAACUCAAGGAAAAGAAAUUGAGAGUUGAAGACGCUCUUAAUGCUACAAAGGCAGCUGUUGAAGAGGGUAUUGUAGUUGGUGGUGGGUGCACUUUGCUCAGACUUGCAUCAAAGGUGGAUGCAAUCAAGGAUACCCUUGCAAAUGAUGAAGAAAAAGUGGGUGCAGACAUUGUUAAAAGAGCUCUUAGUUACCCUCUGAAAUUAAUAGCAAAAAAUGCUGGUGUAAAUGGCAGUGUUGUCAGUGAGAAGGUUCUGUCCAAUGACAAUACAAGAUAUGGAUAUAAUGCUGCCACUGGAAAAUACGAAGAUUUAAUGUCUGCCGGGAUCAUCGAUCCGACAAAGGUGGUCAGAUGUUGCCUGGAACAUGCAGCCUCUGUUGCCAAAACGUUCUUAAUGUCAGACUGUGUUGUUGUUGAGAUAAAGGAACCUGAGCCUGUAGUUGCUGGCAACCCCAUGGACAAUUCAGGCUAUGGUAUGUAGAUGAUGCGGCUGCUUAAAGUGGGGACACCAUUUCCCCCUAUUUUUUUCAAUGUAAUUCGUAAUCUGGUAGAGCAUAUUUAAUUCGUAGGAAGAAGUCCAGAUGUAAGACGGACACACAUGUAGUGUUGUGAACCAGAAUGAGUGACAUUUUUGUUUCUCUAAAGGAUUUGAUGUUGUUAAGUCAAAAUGAUUGGAAUCAUGCUGUUAUUCGGUUUAUUUCCCCAGAAGUUCAUUGACACUGGCAACUCUUCUGUUAGCUUUGGCGUGAAUCAUACAAGGAUAUUGGUUCAAACAAAGACAUGUCACUGUAUAGUUUAUUAAUGGAGAAUCAGGUCACUAAGGACAAUGGAGAAUGGUCAAUUAUUUGGCGAUUGGCAGUGUCACCGAGAGUAAUGUUAAUGGAUAAUGGUUUUUUUUUUAUUAUCACAUUCCACAUUUCUAGAAUAUGAGUACGUCUUGUUUUAUUU